rnacentral:rRNA from 1 species
AACGCACCUUGCGCUCUUUGGUAUUCCGAGGAGCAUGCCUGUUUGAGUGUCAUUAAAUUCUCAACUCUUAUCAACUUUUUGUUGAUAAUGGGCUUGGAUUAUGGGGGUCUAUUUUGCUGGUUUCUUCACAGAUGGCCAGCUCCCCUGAAAUAUAUUAGCUGGUGCCCUGUGUGGACUUGUCUAUUGGUGUGAUAAUUAUCUACGCUGUGGACAUCUACAAUAUAUGGGUUUUGCACUGCUUCUAACUGUCUGUUCAUUCAGACAAUAUAUGACAAUUUGACCUCAAAUCAGGUAGGACUACCCGCUGAACUUAA